rnacentral:lncRNA from 1 species
AUGGUGGGGAUGGGAGAAGGGAGCAGGAGGGAUUUCCUGGGUGGUGCAGGGAGGGUUCCUGCCCUGCUCCAGGCUCUGCUCCCCUGGGAACAGAGAAUUCCUCAGCCCAGGCACCCGAGGAGCCUCCGUGUCCUUGUCCUUGUCCUUGUGCUGAGCUGGAGCCCUGGGAAGGGCGGCCCUGGUGCCAGGGAAGGAAAUUCCUGGGUGGGAGGGAAGGUGGCACUGGGAGAGCUCAGCCUGGCCCCAGCUGCAGGAGGGAGCAGGAAAAGAGGGAACCAGGAAAAGAGGGAAUCAGGAGGGAGCAGGAAAAGAAGGAAUCAGGAAAAGAGCAGGAAAAGAGAGAACCAGGAGGGAAUCAGGAGGGACCAGGAAAAGAAGGAAUCAGAUCAGGCAAAAAGGGAUUCAGGAGGGACCAGGAAAAGAGGGAAUCAGGAGAGACCAGGAAAAAAGGGAAUCAGGAGGGAGCAGGAAAAGAAGGAACCAAGAGAGACCAGGAAAAGAAGGAAUCGGGAAAAUAGGGAACCAGGAAGGACCAGGAAAAGAAGGAAUCACGAAAGACCAGGAAAAAAGGGAACCAGGAGAAACCAGGAAAAGAAGGAAUCAGGAGAUCAGGAAAAAAGGGAUUCAGGAAGGAAUCAGGAAAAGAGGGAACCAGGAGGGACCAGGAAAGAAGGGAAUCAGGAGGGACCAGGAAAGAAGGGAAUUGGGAGGGAGCAGGAAAAGGAACCAAGAGGGACCAGGAAAAGAAGGAAACCAGAAGAGACCUGGAAAAAAUGGAACCAGGAGAAGCCAGGAAAAGAGGGAACAAGAAAAAGAAGGAACCAAGAGAGCCCAGGAAAAGAGGGGAGGAGGAAAAGAGGGAAUGGGUCAGGAGGGACCAGGCAAACCCGGCCCCAACCGCGUCCCUGGGGGCUGGGGGCUGUUCCUGCUCUUCCCCAGCCCUGGAAUCAAUUAGGGAACAAUUCAGGCUGGGAAUCCCGGGAAGGGAACAGAGCAGGGCUGGGCAAACCUCAGACAGCGCAGACGUCUGGAGACCCGUCUGGGCCAGAGCUCGGGUGGCACCGGGGGCUCUGAGCUGGCACCGGGAGGAGCCGCCCCGGCAGCCCCGGGAGCUCCGGGCUCGCUCCUUUCCCCUCCCAGCGAGCGCUGCCCAAGGAUUGCGGAGGAAUCGCUGCUGCUGCAGGGGAUGGGGGACAGCCCCACGGAGAGCUGGGGCAGGAGGGGACAGCGCCACGGGGACAGCGCCACGGGGAGCUGGGGCCCGGAGCACAGUGCCAGUGCCAGUGCCAGGUGCCAGUCCCGGGUGCCAGUCUCAGUCCCAGGUGCCAGUCCUGGGUACUAGUCCUGGUCCCAGGUGCCAAUCCCAGCUCCAAGUGCCAGUGCCAGCUCCAGGGGCCAUUCCCAGGUGCCAGUGCCAGCUCCAGGGGCCAGUCCUGGGUGCCAGUCCCAGCUACUAGUCCUGGUCCCAGAUGCCAGUCCCGGGUGCCAAACCUGGCCCCAUGUGCC